GUUAUUACAGUAUCUAUAGGGAUGAGGUUUUGUUAUUAUCCCUGGGGUAACC
rnacentral:tRNA from 1 species